AAUGAACGCUGGCGGCAGGCCUAACACAUGCAAGUCGAACGAGUGGCGGACGGGUGAGUAAUGCCUGGGAAACUGGCCGAUGGCGGGGGAUAACUACUGGAAACGGUAGCUAAUACCGCCUACACUCAGAUGUGCCCAGAGGGGAUUAGCUUGUUGGUGGGGUAACGGCUCACCAAGGCGACGAUCCCUAGCUGGUGUGAGAGGAUGACGAGCCACACUGGAACGGAGACACGGGCCGAACGCCUACGGGAGGCAGCAGUGGGGAAUAUUGCACAAUGGGGGGAGGCCUGAUGCAGCCAGGCGGCGUAUAUAUAGAAGGCCUUCGGGUUGUAAAGUACGUUCAGCGGGGAGGCGUUACCGGCAGAAGAAGCACCGGCUAACUCCGUGCCAGCAGCCGCGGUAAUAC
rnacentral:rRNA from 1 species